CCUGCGGAAGGAUCAUUAUUGAAUAAACUGAUAAGUUGCUGCUGGUUCUCUAGGGAGCAUGUGCACACUUGUCAUCUUUAUAUCUUCUCACCUGUGCACCUUUGUAGACCUAGGUCUAUGUCUUCAUAUACUCUUAUUGUAUGUUAUUGAAUGUAAUAUAGGCCUUUUGUGCCUUUAAAUCUUAUACAACUUUCAGCAACGGAUCUCUUGGCUCUCGCAUCGAUGAAGAACGCAGCGAAAUGCGAUAAGUAAUGUGAAUUGCAGAAUUCAGUGAAUCAUCGAAUUUUUGAACGCACCUUGCGCUCCUUGGUAUUCCGAGGAGCAUGCCUGUUUGAGUGUCAUUUAAUAUAUCAACCUCUUGUUGAGUGUUGGAAGUGGGGGUCUUUUUUUGCUGGUCUCUAGAUCAGCUCCCCUGAAAUGUAUUAGCAGAACAAUCAUGUUCAUUGGUGUGAUAAACUAUUUACACUAUUGACAUGAGCAAAGUUCAGCUUCUAAUAGUCCAUUGAUUUGGACAAAAAUUUCAUUAAUGUGACCUCAAAUCAGGUAGGACUACCCGCUGAACUUAA
rnacentral:rRNA from 1 species